AAAAUCCAACCCCCCCCCUCCCCGAAAAAAAAUCCUGGCUACGCCCAUGGUUAAUAAUAAUAUGCAUGACUAAAUGACUCACUUAGUAUCAAGACAAAUGGGACUACAAAUGUUGCUGUUUUUUCUUAAGAAGUCCUCUUUUUUUUCCCUCGUUUAUUUAUAGAUAUUUUAUUUAUUAAAUCUUUCUAAAUAAAAAAUUUUCUCAUUUGCCUGAAUUACAGCUAGUCUUUCUUUAGAAUGCCUGAAAAUACUAUAGAUUUCAUGAGCAAAGUAGAAAAUUGAGAAUAAUUUCCUAAUUGGCUAGUUAAUGCUUAGCUAAGCAUUCUAUAGAAUGCCUUCAUCUCACACUAAGGUAUAGGCCCCUAAUAAUAUCUACAAGUGAUAACCAGUUUUGGCUUUAAAACAUGCAAAUCAACAUUCAUUUAUAGUAUACAAAAAAAAACAUAGAUCUCGGUAGAUGAAACAAAUUGCUAGUAAAAGACUUUGUGGAAGCUCCAAUUUAAUUUGUGAGAGAUAAGAUAAUUGUUAUUGAUCCAAUCAAAUGGAAAUUCAGUUUGACUACAAUUGACAACCUUAGCAGAUCUAUUAUCUAUAUCUUCUACUUCUCACAAUUUCUUUAAUCAAAAGUAUAAUAAAGUCAUGAUCAUUCUAUCAAGUUCAUGUAACACAGACUAAAAACGGAAAAUACCUAGGCGUUAUAAUAAAUGAAAAACUGUCAUGGAAUCCCCAUAUAAAAAAAACAAAGCACUAGGGUUUAUUAAAAAAAAAUCUAUUAUUCAAAUAAGAAUAUAAAACUAAAAUGUCAUUUAACGUUGGCUAGGCCAAUAAUAGAAUAUGCAUCCUCUGUUUGGGACCCCUCAACUCAAGAAAACAUUAAGAAACUAGAACAGACACAAAAUAGAGCAGGGCAGUGAGAUUCAUAACAAACAAAUAUUCACAUUUGACUAGUAGUAAAAUCACUAAAUUUAGAAAGCCUUCAGGAUAGAAGUCCCCAAAGUAUAAAGUAAAGUAGCAAUUAUAAAUACAACACUGAACCAUAAUCUUCAAAUUCAAAAACAAAAUCUAAUAAAAUAAUCAGAAAGAUACAAGGAUAAGGGCACAUUCCAUUAUCAUCUUCUUUUUGGAAGUAACCUCUGUAUUAUAUAAGAUGUGUUCAAAAAAAAUUUCACAAAAUUGCAUUUUGACUACCAUAUUAUUUUCUCUAUCUUUGACAUAAUGAUGACAUCCUGAUCUUUGCUAUGGUAUAGCCUACAUACUUUGAUCGUUGGAGUGUUGUCGCAAUGAUCGUGUAGAACCCAUUUGCACUCAGAGAUUUAAAGGAUGUAGAAUCAACUACAAAGAGCGUUCAUGCAUUGAAGAAGAAUUUAUGGGCUGUGAAAAUCCAUUCGUGGUCAUGGCAACAUUUGUGAAUAUUGUAAACCAUGCAGAAAUAACGGCACUUGUUCACCACUACCUCCAAUCAUGUUUGAACAUUUAAAUGUGAGUGUGCUGCCACGGGUUUCUAUGGUGACAGGUGUAAAUAAAUGUCCAAAAGAUUUGUCAGCUAAGGAACCUAAAAUGUUGGCCUGUUUACUAAUAUGAGAUCUUCCUUAACUACACAAGUACCUUACAGAAGAAGGCUACUCACUUGUGUUUAGAUAUGCUGCUGUACCAAGGCUCACAUAGACUGGAUAUUUAUAUAGCCUAAUAUUAUGUUACUGACAAUUAUCUAAGUAUUGCAUGUCCUGUACAAGCCUCAAUGACUAAGAUAAUUAAAUAUAUUCAUGAUUAUAAGAUAAGUAGAAUGCAAUGAAAAUCAAAGAUGCCGGUAUUAAAACAAGAAAAAGUAGGCAACUGUAUAGCUUACUUUUCUACUGUCUAUAAUGUUUGUAGAUUUUUAAAGUUAGAAAGUGUCUUUUUUUAAUGACACAUUGCCUGUCAAUUCUGUUUAGUUUAAUCUUUUUUUUUAAUAUAGUGCCUAUCACCCUAAGUGAUGGUCAAGUUCAACAGAUAUUAUUAUAAGCAGCUUUUUUUCUGGGUAUUAUUCAACCACAGAAGCUGUGAGGGAUAUCUGAAAUCCAUUGCUGACUGGUCUAGCAGAAAGAUUUCCAUCCAUUUAG